CCAGUUGUGUGUACCAUGCUGAGAUCCUUCAUUGGACUGGAAUGUUUUUGUAUUUGUACAUUUCUUAUAAACUGGCUCUUCUACAGAGGCAUAGCUAUUAAUUGUUUGCUGUAUUAUAUUACAGACACAUGCAGGAAGACAGAGUCCCAGCCUCUAAGAGUUUACAGUCUAAAAAAGCAAGAAAAGAUGCAACUUGGGCAGAAGGAAUACAGCAUACAGGCAAAAAGCUCCUGGUCACCAAGGUAUGAGAUAGAAGGCAGAUGAGACAUGGAAGACAAAUGAAAUUCUCUCAGCAAACCAUGGGACCUGGAUUUGACCUACAGCAACUCACCCCCACGAGCAUUUGAUCCACAGCAACAUCUCCCUAUUCCUUCUGAAUCUGAUGUCAUCUCUCACUUGGUUUAAAAAGAAGGAAGUCAAUUUAAAAGUAGAAUUUUCUUUUCAAUGUAUUGUUUAUGUAAAAGAAAGUAAGAGUUGGCCUUAUGCAAUGGCUUUAUGCCAUGAA